rnacentral:rRNA from 1 species
GACGAACGCUGGCGGCGUGCUUAACACAUGCAAGUCGAACGGAAAGGCCCUGCUUUUGUGGGGUGCUUGAGUGGCGAACGGGUGAGUAACACGUGAGUAACCUGCCCUUGACUUUGGGAUAACUUCAGGAAACUGGGGCUAAUACCGGAUAGGAGCACCUGCUGCAUGGUGGGGGUUGGAAAGUUUCGGCGGUUGGGGAUGGACUCGCGGCUUAUCAGCUUGUUGGUGGGGUAGUGGCUUACCAAGGCUUUGACGGGUAGCCGGCCUGAGAGGGUGACCGGCCACAUUGGGACUGAGAUACGGCCCAGACUCCUACGGGAGGCAGCAGUGGGGAAUAUUGCACAAUGGGCGGAAGCCUGAUGCAGCAACGCCGCGUGCGGGAUGACGGCCUUCGGGUUGUAAACCGCUUUCGCCUGUGACGAAGCGUGAGUGACGGUAAUGGGUAAAGAAGCACCGGCUAACUACGUG